AAUCUUUACAAUGCGGGAAACCGCGAUAAGGGGAUACUGAGUGCCAGCAUAUUAUGUUGGCUGUCCACCUGUAUAAACAGCAGGUGUUAGCAAGGGCCGGGCAAGACCGGUGCCAGCCGCCGCGGUAACACCGGCGGCCCGAGUGGUGGCCACUAUUAUUGGGUCUAAAGGGUCCGUAGCCGGUUUGAUCAGUCUUCCGGGAAAUCUGACAGCUCAACUGUUAGGCUUCUGGGGGAUACUGUCAGACUUGGGACCGGGAGAGGUAAGAGGUACUACAGGGGUAGGAGUGAAAUCUUGUAAUCCUUGUGGGACCACCAGUGGCGAAGGCGUCUUACCAGAACGGGUCCGACGGUGAGGGACGAAAGCUGGGGGCACGAACCGGAUUAGAUACCCGGGUAGUCCCAGCCGUAAACGAUGCUCGCUAGGUGUCUGGGACGGUGCGACCGUUUCAGGUGCCGCAGGGAAGCCGUGAAGCGAGCCACCUGGGAAGUACGGNNNNAAGGCUGAAACUUAA
rnacentral:rRNA from 1 species